rnacentral:rRNA from 1 species
GAGGAAUAUUGGUCAAUGGGCGGGAGCCUGAACCAGCCAAGUCGCGUGAAGGAAGAAGGAUCUAUGGUUCGUAAACUUCUUUUGCAGGGGAAUAAAGUGCGGGACGUGUCCUGUUUUGUAUGUACCCUGAGAAUAAGGAUCGGCUAACUCCGUGCCAGCAGCCGCGGUAAUACGGAGGAUCCGAGCGUUAUCCGGAUUUAUUGGGUUUAAAGGGUGCGUAGGUGGUUUGAUAAGUCAGCGGUGAAAGUUUGCAGCUUAACUGUAAAAAUGCCGUUGAAACUGUCGGACUUGAGUGUAAAUGAGGUAGGCGGAAUGCGUGGUGUAGCGGUGAAAUGCAUAGAUAUCACGCAGAACUCCGAUUGCGAAGGCAGCUUACUAAGCUACAACUGACACUGAAGCACGAAAGCGUGGGGAUCAAACA